rnacentral:tRNA from 1 species
GAGGGUAUAGCUCAGUGGUGGACUGUGUGCUUAGCAUGCACGAGGUCCUGGGUUCAAUCCCCAUUACCUCCA